rfam:Microscilla marina ATCC 23134 1099589004157, whole genome shotgun sequence.
AGAGAGUUACCCAAGUGGUGAAGGGGACAGGUUGCUACCUUGUUAGGUCAGGUUUGACGCGGGGGUUCGAAUCCCUCACUCUCUG